CUGGUGUGAGUCUGAAGCUGCUUGAUAGUGGAAGUUCAUUUGACUCAGAUGAUCUUGCAGCUCAGGGGUUUUUGCGGCUGUUAGAUUAUCUUUGUAUAAUGAUACUACAGGACUCUGCUCUUCUUCAGAGGGAAUUUCCAACUCAUCCACUGUGGAUCAACUCAGUGUUUCAGCAUGCAGAGUAUGAGCAGUUUGCAGAUGCUGUACAGGCUGCAGAGUCAGUUCCCAUUCCUUCACAGAAGAUGAUGCUUCAACAGUCAGUGCCACAGAUUUCUGAGAGCCUGAGCACCAUACAGAGACAGAUCAAUGUGGUGGCAGAUCAGAUAAAGAUCAGAGAUGUACAAA
rnacentral:sRNA from 2 species